rnacentral:rRNA from 1 species
CCUACGGGAGGCAGCAGUGGGGAAUAUUGCACAAUGGGGGAAACCCUGAUGCAGCGACGCCGCGUGAGUGAAGAAGUAAUUCUUUAUGUAAAGCUCUAUCAGCAGGGAAGAAAAUGACGGUACCUGAGUAAGAAGCCCCGGCUAACUACGUUCCAGCAGCCGCGGUAAUACGUAGGGGGCAAGCGUUAUCCGGAUUUACUGGGUGUAAAGGGAGCGUAGACGGCAGUGCAAGUCUGGAGUGAAAGGCGGGGGCUCAACCCCCGGACUGCUCUGGAAACUGUACGGCUGGAGUGCAGGAGAGGUAAGUGGAAUUCGUAGUGUAGCGGUGAAAUGCGUAGAUAUUAGGCGGAACACCAGUGGCGAAGGCGGCUUACUGGACUGUAACUGACGUUGAGGCUCGAAAGCGUGGGGAGCAAACAGGAUUAGAUACCCCGGUAGUC